CUUUUCAACUAGUUGAAGAGCUAAGCUUUCUGAAUUCCAUUAAGUGGAGGGUUCCAGGGCAAAGACCUAGUGAAGUUAUGGUCCAUUAAGCACUUUGUGAAAUGCAUAAAUAAAGCCAUCCAAGGGCAGAGUUUCUCUUCUACAUCUGGGUCUGACAACUUUAAAGACAACCCCUCGAGGGCAAUUCCCGUCUGCUAUUUCAAUACUUCUGAAGCCUUGACAAAAAACAUAAAAAUAAGAAGUCCACAACUAUUCCAUCUUUUCAAGUAUGUUUUCAAGGACCACUAUCCUGUCUUCCUAUUCUGUUGUUUUCAAUGUAAGACUUUCAUGUUUAUGUUCACACAAUGGUUGUUACACCUUUCAUACUCAUCUGUCAUCUAGGCAAGAGGUAAAAUCAGGGUGAGGGGGGUACAAAGGCAAAGAUUGAAGUGGCAUGUCCUUAAAUUUUUUUUCCAGCAUAGCUACUGCUUGUAUUUCUAUGGUUACAACUGUGUCACAAGUCUAAGAAACAGGUUAC
rnacentral:lncRNA from 1 species